CAAUCUGCCUAUCAAUUGGUUCUCCAUCAUACGGACUAGUCAACAUAUUAAAAAUUGUAACGGCAGACUCAACAUACAAAGUAAAGAACGUCUCAGAAUUUAAGACAAGAAUUAAUGAGACAUACAUUUGCGACGAUGAAAGAUUGAUAUCAUUUGACGUAGUUUCGUUUUUCCAAGUAUUCCAAUAGAAUUGGCACUUGGCACUAUCAGGGAAAAUGGAACAAAAUAAAAGCGCACACUAACAUUCCAAAAUUAACAUUCAUGGAAAUAGAACGUUCUUGUAUGAAAGAGAACAGAUUUUAAAUACAAGGACAACAUAUACACACAACUGAAAGUAAUGCCUAUGGAAUCACCAUUGCACAGUGGUUGCGCUUGUAUGGGGAGAGCGGCCAAAAAUACUUCUAGUGGAGAUAAAAUUAUGAAAUUUUUUCCAAAAUUCUAUAAAAAUAUAAUGAGUAAUAUAGCAUUUUCUUCUUGAAGUAUUUUUCUUCGCUAAGGAACAAUUGUGUUGUUUCUUUUUCGAAUUGGAACCUUAUUCGUCUGCAGUAGCGUGUAGAUGACGGUCGAGGAUUUUUCCAAAUUAAUUUGCGGUUUCUAGGAUCUUCAUCUUUGGUUAUCAGUUGCAGUGGGACAUAAGAGAACUGCCAUCAAAGCCCCAUUUCCCAAUUAAAGUUAAAUCGUAACCAUCAAUGGAGUCAAGAACAUCUGCUUGAAGUUGGACAAUUCGCGAUGCCGUGUGAUCUACCAAGCUCUGCAGUUCAACUUCAGCUUGCGAAUCACUGACAUUGAUGUUUACAGGAUAACUUGCUGCUUUGGCUGCCAGAAGUUUUUCGUAACUUGGGAGUAAAUUAUACGACGUUUUAGUAUUAAUAAAACUUCGUAUUGUCAAAUACUGUUGUUUACUCAA